UGUGUUUCAGCUCAGUAGCUCGAUACAACCACAUUUCUCCACAGACACGUCUUCCCUUAUUGAAAGAUUUUCACCUUGGGGACAUAUUGUCCCUUGUCACUGAAACCUCAGGGACAGAAGGGGACUCCACAGGAUGCCUCAGCAGGAAGCCGCGAUCCUGAUGAAACAGUGUUCAGCUAAUGAAGGCAUGGCCCAUGGCCUCUGCUGGUGAUCCUUAGGAGCAAAUGGUACUUUGCGAUGAAUCAUCUCCUACACACCAUUGGCCAAAACUGACCAUCUCCAUUGCAGCAACAGAAAUGUAAUUUUGGCAAAGCAGUUGGUUACUAUUUUGGUACACAGGGUA